ensembl:misc_RNA Metazoa_SRP Metazoan signal recognition particle RNA
GCCAGGCAUGGUGGCGCGUGCCUGUAAUCCCAGCUACUUGGGAGGCUGAGGCAGGAGACUUGCUUGAACCUGGGAGGCGGAGAUUGCAGUGAGCCAAGAUCAUGCCACUGCACUCCAGCCUGGAUGACAGAGCAAGACUCCGUCUCUU